rnacentral:sRNA from 2 species
CGACUCCUUCGUUAGGUGAGGCUCCUGUACGGAGAUACGCUACUGCCCAGAAAUGUCUAAAGACGCCAAUGGGUCAACAGGAACGAUCGAGGUAAGGUCGUUUCUAAUGUAGCUGGAGCAAAGCUCCUAUGCCGUACAGUGCCAAAGCUCAACGAAUGAAGGAGCAG